rnacentral:tRNA from 1 species
GGAAGUACAAAGGGUUUUGGGCUCUUGAGUGCAGGUUCAGGUCCUGUUUUUCUA